GAUGAACGCUGGCGGCGUGCCUAAUACAUGCAAGUCGAGCGAACAGACGAGGAGCUUGCUCCUCUGACGUUAGCGGCGGACGGGUGAGUAACGCGUGGAUAACCUACCUAUCAGACUGGGAUAACUUCGGGAAACCGGCGCUAAUACCGGAUAAUAUAUUGAACCGCAUGGUUCAAUAGUGAAAGACGGUUUUGCUGUAACUUAUAGAUGGAUCCGCGCCGCAUUAGCUAGUUGGUAAGUUAACGGCUUACCAAGGCAACGAUGCGUAGCCGACUUGAGAGGGUGAUCGGCCGCACGGGAGCUGGGACACGGUCCAGACUCCUACGGGAGGCAGCAGUAGGGAAUCUUCCGCAAUGGGCGAAAGCCUGACGGAGCAACGCCGCGUGAGUGAUGAAGGUCUUCGGAUCGUAAAACUCUGUUAUUAGGGAAGAACAAAUGUGUAAGUAACUAUGCACGUCUUGACGGUACCUAAUCAGAAAGCCACGGCUAACUACGUG
rnacentral:rRNA from 1 species